rnacentral:rRNA from 1 species
CACCGCGGUUAAACGAGAGGCCCCAGUUAAUAAUACACGGCGUAAAGGGUGGUUAAGGAGAGCAUAACGAUAAAGCCGAAUGGCCCUUUGGCUGUCAUACGCUUCUAGGUGUCCGAAGCCCAAUAUACGAAAGUAGCUUUAGUAAAGCCCACCUGACCCCACGAAAGCUGAGAAA